UACGUAGGGGGCAAGCGUUGUCCGGAUUUAUUGGGCGUAAAGAGCUCGUAGGUGGUUCGGUAAGUCGGAUGUGAAAUCUCCAGGCUCAACCUGGAGGGGUCAUUCGAUACUGCCGUGACUAGAGUUCGGUAGGGGAGUGUGGAAUUCCUGGUGGAGCGGUGAGAUGCGCAGAUAUCAGGAGGAACACCCGUAGCGAAGGCGGCACUCUGGGCCGAUACUGACACUGAGGAGCGAAAGCGUGGGGAGCGAACAGG
rnacentral:rRNA from 1 species